rnacentral:rRNA from 1 species
AUUGAACGCUGGCGGCAGGCCUAACACAUGCAAGUCGAACGCGUCGCGGACGGGUGUGUUAUGUCGGGGAAAGUGCCUGAUGGGGGGGGAAAUCCUCUAGACAGGGUAUCUAAUACCGCAUAACAUCAGAUGUGCCCAGAUGGGAUUAGCUAGUUGGUGGGGUAACGUCUCACCAAGGCGACGAUCCCUAGCUGGUCUGAGAGGAUGAACAGCCACACUGUGACUGAGACACGGUCCAGACUCCUACGGGAGGCAGCAGUGGGGAAUAUUGCACAAUGGGCGCAAGCCUGAUGCAGCCAUGCCGCGUGUAUGAAGAAGGCCCUCGGGUUGUAAAGUACUUUCAGUGGGGAGGCGUUACCGACAGAAGAAGCACCGGCUAACUCCGUGCCAGCAGCCGCGGUAAUUC